rnacentral:tRNA from 1 species
CUAGAGUUAGCUCAGUCUGGCAGAGCACUUGGUUUGGAACCAAGGGGCCGUAGGUUCAAAUCCUACACUCUAGA